rnacentral:lncRNA from 1 species
AUACUUAUAUUAUGUUAGAAUAUUAAAAUAUAUAAACUAUGAAAAACCAAAUAAAGAUUUUGUGCUUAUAUAUAUAUUUUGCUUAGUAUGUUUAAUAAAUAAAUAAAGUGGCUAUGCUAAUCUGAAUCUUAAUAAUAAAACUCUAGCAUGGAUAUGAUGAAUAGUUGCUCUGCCUAAUUUGCAAAUUUGAAGUUCCCUCUCAAGUUUAGACAUAACUGUUAUAAUUUAAAGCUUGCUCUAGAUCUAAACUUGUGGGAUAAAAACUUGAUCUGAAAUCUAAGUUGUUAACGGAUAUGAUAUGGGAAGGUUGAGCUGCUGUUUAUUUGUUCCUAGAGAUGCUAGAAUUCUGGAAAAUUUUAUCUUGAAAAAUCUUUAAAAUAUUGCAUGAUGAGUUCCUGUAUGAUGAGAGUUUAAAUUCCUACCACAGCCAUAUAUACAUGCUUGCUAGACUUUGAGCCACACAUUUACUAUUUACUGCUUAUGAGCAUUGAGUGUGGUCAAGCUGUGUAGACCCUUAGGAGCUUGUCAUGUGGUUAAAUCAAGAUUCACUUGCACGUCACUCAUAUAUGAUACUUCUACUCCGGAAGUACCAUCCACAUAUAUCCAUCCAUUUCCAUCUCCAGAAUCACCCAAAAAUAUUCUACUCCUAAUCCGGGAGAGAAUAGUCAAAAACAUUUUCCUAUCCCUGUUAUUCCCUGUGAAAUAAAUGCUCCAAAUAUUUUGGUUACUACCACUUGCUAUAUUAUCUCAAGAGAUGAGUGCUCUGAAAAAAAAGAAGAAAGAAAAGAGAAGAAAAAUAUAUAUAUAUAUAAAUGAGGAAAUAAAAAGGGGCAAGUGCCCGGAACCUCGAAAGAAAGAAAAAGUGAGAUGAGAGGUAAAAAUGGACAAGUGUCCGACAGUAGAAUUAGGGGUACAAGAUACCCACCUGAAAAAAAAGAGAGAGAGAGAGCAUCUCAUUCUCCUCAUAAAGUUUCAAAAAGCAAGGAAGGUAUGUAUCCCCUCAAAAGAGCAAAAGUAGAAUUAGACUUUCACCAUUGUUAUUACCAUCAUCACCUUACACCAUUCAUUCGCCACACAUGCACAUCUUGAUUUAGCUUAUUGAUUUGUUUCUCUGGAUCCAUGGUUUGACUAUGCAAUAAAUGUCUUGUAAGUAUGUAUUAGCUGUCUCCCACCUAUGAGCUCCAAAUAUCAAGCCUUAUUAGAGUAGGGUGAGAGAGAAGGCAAUGUCACUAUGCCUUAUACCACAAAUACCACAUAUCUUGAGAGAAGGCAUAUACCAUCAAUGCCUUGGUAAGGAUCCAGAAAUACCACAAAAGAGAGAUAUGAGAGAGUCAUACAAGGAAUCUCUGAGUUUUAUUUGAAAAUCUGCAAAAACCCC